UCACAUUCAAGGCUCUCCUCCUGACAGCAAGUCUAUAUCAAAUUCAAGAGGAGUCAAAGAGUUUGAAAAGCCCCUUCCUCCAUCUCCAAAAUCAGUUUGAGGGCUUCUUACUCUUCCUUGCUUAAAUUGUUUAAAUACGCUUUUGAGAAGCUUUCUUUUUCUGUUUGUUUCAAACUAUUUGUUUCUUACUUGAUUCAAUCAGGGGAUUGAAUCAAGGGUGUUAAGGUUUGUUGGUGAGCCAAGGUUAAAACCAACGGUGUAAGGGUUUGAUUGUGAUCCCGGAAAAACAAUCAGGUGGUUCUAGUCGGUGAGCCUGUGAAAACCGACCGAGUUCGUUGUGAUCUCGUAAAACAAUAAGUUGGGUUGUGAACUUGUAAAACAACCGGCUGUAAUCCAAGGGAUUAUAGUGAACUCCCAAGUGAGG
rnacentral:lncRNA from 1 species